GCUCUGGUGGCCUAGUGUUUAGAAUGUCCGCCUUAGAUGCGGAAGGUCGUGGGUUCUAUCCCCGGUCGAAUUA